rnacentral:lncRNA from 1 species
AUGUGUUAGGUGUUUUUUCCCUGUCACAAUAGGGAAAAGUUGUACACUGUUGCGGACUAUAUCCUUUGUGUCUCAUGUCUGUUUUGCCCUUUGUUCCUGAGAAAACGCAAACAUCAAAAUAGUUCAAAUGUGUUACCCUCCAGAGGAGGCUGCAAAGCCUGUGUGCUUUAAGUAUGUUGGAGGGAGCGCUGAAGCUGGGGUCACAGUGGGGAGAAAGAAGAAGCAGCUAUGCUGUGUGUGAUACAUUUUCCUUUGCAUCUUACCACAGGAAAAGCCUGCGAAUGUUUGCCAUGCUCUGUGCGAAUGUUCUCUCUGGAGAAUUUGUAGAAGGCCUGAGCCUGAGAAUUAAAAACUUAUGAAGGAAAUUUGAAAACUAGCCACAAAGCUGAGAUUCCUGGUAAGUUUUUAAAAACUCUUUAAAUGGUCAUCUAUCUUGUGCCAUCAAUGUGCUUUUAGCAAUUGCCUUUUUAUCUGUAGCAGGUGCAGCAAAUGUCCCUGCAAGAAUUACUGUGAUCUUGAAGGUCUGGUGGUGUCAGAUGAUCACAUAGUUAAAGGAAGAGAUUUUGCAGAACAG